rnacentral:rRNA from 1 species
AUACCAAUUGCGAAGGCAGCUUUCUGGAUCAUUACUGACACUGAGGAACGAAAGCAUGGGUAGCGAAGAGGAUUAGAUACCCUCGUAGUCCAUGCCGUAAACGAUGUGUGUUAGACGUUGGAAAUUUAUUUUCAGUGUCGCAGGGAAACCGAUAAACACACCGCCUGGGGAGUACGACCGCAAGGUUAAAACUCAAAUGAAUUGACGGGGACCCGCACAAGUAGUGGAGCAUGUGGUUUAAUUCGAAGAUACGCGCAGAACCUUACCAACACUUGACAUGUUCGUCGCGACUCUAAGAGAUUAGAGUUUUCGGUUCGGCCGGACGAAACACAGGUGCUGCAUGGCUGUCGUCAGCUCGUGUCGUGAGAUGUUGGGUUAAGUCCCGCAACGAGCGCAACCCUCACUUUUAGUUGCCAUCAUUAAGUUGGGCACUCUGAAAGAACUGCCAGUGAUAAGCUGGAGGAAGGUGGGGAUGACGUCAAGUCCUCAUGGCCCUUACGUGUUGGGCUACACACGUGCUACAAUGGCAUCUACAACAGGAAGCAAAACGGCAACGUUAAGCAAAUCCCGAAAAGAUGCCUCAGUUCGGAUUGCACUCUGCAACUCGAGUGCAUGAAGCUGGAAUUACUAGUAAUCGUGGAUCAGCGUGCCACGGUGAAUGCGUUCCCGGGUCUUGUACACACCGCCCGUCACACCAUGGGAGUUGGUUCUACCUUAAGGCAAGGUUUUAAACCCUUGACCACGGUAUAGUCAGCGACUGGGGUGAAGUCGUAACAAGGUAACCGUA